AUUGAACGCUGGCGGCAUGCCUUACACAUGCAAGUCGAACGGCAGCACGGGGGCAACCCUGGUGGCGAGUGGCGAACGGGUGAGUAAUGCAUCGGAACGUGCCCAGUAGUGGGGGAUAACCAGUCGAAAGACUGGCUAAUACCGCAUACGACCUACGGGUGAAAGCGGGGGACCGCAAGGCCUCGCGCUAUUGGAGCGGCCGAUGUCUGAUUAGCUAGUUGGCGGGGUAAAAGCCCACCAAGGCGACGAUCAGUAGCUGGUCUGAGAGGACGACCAGCCACACUGGGACUGAGACACGGCCCAGACUCCUACGGGAGGCAGCAGUGGGGAAUUUUGGACAAUGGGCGCAAGCCUGAUCCAGCCAUGCCGCGUGCGGGAAGAAGGCCUUCGGGUUGUAAACCGCUUUUGGCAGGAACGAAACGGCGCGAGCCAAUACCUCGCGCUAAUGACGGUACCUGCAGAAUAAGCACCGGCUAACUACGUGCCAGCCGCCGCCGUAAAAC
rnacentral:rRNA from 1 species